rnacentral:rRNA from 1 species
AGAACGAACGCUGGCGGCAUGCCUAAUACAUGCAAGUCGAACGAAGGCUUCGGCCUUAGUGGCGCACGGGUGCGUAACGCGUGGGAAUCUGCCCCUUGGUUCGGAAUAACAGUUGGAAACGACUGCUAAUACCGGAUGAUGACGAAAGUCCAAAGAUUUAUCGCCAAGGGAUGAGCCCGCGUAGGAUUAGCUAGUUGGUGAGGUAAAGGCUCACCAAGGCGACGAUCCUUAGCUGGUCUGAGAGGAUGAUCAGCCACACGU